rnacentral:rRNA from 1 species
AUUGAACGCUGGCGGCAUGCCUUACACAUGCAAGUCGAACGGCAGCACGGGUGCUUGCACCUGGUGGCGAGUGGCGAACGGGUGAGUAAUACAUCGGAACAUGUCCUGUAGUGGGGGAUAGCCCGGCGAAAGCCGGAUUAAUACCGCAUACGAUCCACGGAUGAAAGCGGGGGACCUUCGGGCCUCGCGCUAUAGGGUUGGCCGAUGGCUGAUUAGCUAGUUGGUGGGGUAAAGGCCUACCAAGGCGACGAUCAGUAGCUGGUCUGAGAGGACGACCAGCCACACUGGGACUGAGACACGGCCCAGACUCCUGCGGGAGGCAGCAGUGGGGAAUUUUGGACAAUGGGCGAAAGCCUGAUCCAGCAAUGCCGCGUGUGUGAAGAAGGCCUUCGGGUUGUAAAGCACUUUUGUCCGGAAAGAAAUCCUUGGCUCUAAUACAGUCGGGGGAUGACGGUACCGGAAGAAUAAGCACCGGCUAACUACGUG